rnacentral:rRNA from 1 species
CCUACGGGAGGCAGCAGUGAGGAAUAUUGGUCAAUGGACGCAAGUCUGAACCAGCCAUGCAGCGUGCAGGAAGACGGCUCUAUGGGUUGUAAACUGCUUUUGUACGAGGGUAAACUCAGAUACGCGUAUCUUUCUGCAAGUAUCGUACGAAUAAGGAUCGGCUAACUCCGUGCCAGCAGCCGCGGUAAUACGGAGGAUUCAAGCGUUAUCCGGAUUUAUUGGGUUUAAAGGGUGCGUAGGCGGUCGGAUAAGUUAGAGGUGAAAUACCGAGGCUCAACCUCGGAAUUGCCUCUGAUACUGGCAGGCUAGAGAGUAGUUGAGGUAGGCGGAAUGCAUGGUGUAGCGGUGAAAUGCUUAGAGAGCAUACAGAACACCGAUUGCGAAGGCAGCUUACCAAGCUACUUCUGACGUUGAGGCACGAAAGCGUGGGGAGCAAACAGGAUUAGAUACCCGAGUAGUC